UCUUCUUUCUAUUUCAUAGAUAAAGCAGCUACGGCACAGAAAGAUUAAGUAACUCAACCAGUCACACAGGAAGAAUUAAUGUUUUAAUUCAGUUAGCCCAACUUCAGAACUUCUGCUCAUAACAACGAUGCUAGGAUCUUCAGAAAUAUGUUUUCUGUAAUAGCACUCGUUCUGGUCAGUGAGCAGUAUGCCUCGUUGACUGUCGGGAAAAUGCCCGCUGUUGUCCUGGUGGCAUGGGAGAAAGUAAGCACGGGUUACAGAGAAGAUCAGCUUCAACAGAAUGGAUGACAACAGAAUAUAAAGCAGAGAGAACUGAGGCAGAUAGUGUCACUAAUGCCUUAAUGAGGAGGGAUGGAUGAUAAGGUCAGAUCACUUUUUUCUUAUGAUGAGAAAGAGAAAAGCAGCCCCUGACAUCAUCAGCUGAGGCUUCGUGUGCUCCUGUUGAAUGUAAACAAUUCAUAGAACAUCAGUAUCAGACUCUAUGAUCAUGAUGGACAGAAACGAAAACAAGACCACUCGAUAGUCACGUCUGAACAUGUGAAAAACAUGAACGUUGUCCACACCACAAAAAUGACCAAAACUGGCUAAGAUGAGUGACUGCUGCCUCUUUGCCAAUUAUACCUUUGGCCUCAAUCUAGUCUUCUCUCCUUCUAGAUAAGACUUAUUAAGAUACCAAUCACAGAAUUAUCCACACUUCCUGACAGCAGCCAAUCCAGAGCAACACCCAACUUCCUUAAAGUCUCUCCCCAAUUCUUAAAAGUCCAAAUCCCAGGAUGAGUCUGUUCUAACACCCUCCACUGCUCCACAGUUCCCCUGGCAAGCAUUCUGCCUUGCUGCAAUGUGCAAUUAAACCCAACUUAGUCAACCACAAGUGUAUUCCUGGUGGUCUUUGCCUGAAGGGCAUUAGCAAUAGCUUGCUGUGUAGAUAAUUAUGCUGAAGUUAAUUUUAUGAACGCAUAAUUCUAUGGCAAGUAACAUAAACUCACUUGAGCUAACUUAAGCAAAAUUGAGAUGAAAAAUGUUGGAAUGCAUAAGGAGCUCAAUUCAUAAAAACUGAAAUGUAGAUGGGCCUGAAGAGACAACGGAAA
rnacentral:lncRNA from 1 species